rnacentral:rRNA from 1 species
UACAGAGGUGGCAAGCGUUGUUCGGAAUUACUGGGCGUCAAGGGCGCGUAGGCGGCCUUCUAAGUCAGACGUGAAAUCCCCCGGCUUAACCUGGGAACUGCGUCUGAUACUGGGAGGCUUGAGUAUGGGAGAGGGAUGUAGAAUUCCAGGUGUAGCGGUGAAAUGCGUAGAUAUCUGGAGGAACACCGGUGGCGAAGGCGGCAUCCUGGACCGACAUUGACGCUGAGGCGCGAAAGCCAGGGGAGCAAACGGG